GGCGGCGUAGCUCAGCGGUAGAGCGGGGAUCUCAUAAGUCCUAGGUCGGGGGUUCGAGUCCCUCCGCCGCCA
rnacentral:tRNA from 3 species